UCUCUGAUUGUUCUUCAAGUUCUUAAAUAAUUUUCUUCUUUUUUCUUCUGAACUGUUUCCAGGGUUUCACAUAUGUGGCGCCAUCUGUCUUCACUGAAUUACUCAAAUCAAAGUCUCCACGUCGUCAACUGAUGGCUGGUUUCCGUGGACCAACAAGUCCAUCAACCAUGGCCCCUUUGAUGGAUGGAUGCCUAGCAGGACAUAGCUCAAUGCGAGAUGACCCAGAAGCAAUGGACACAUCUUCUGUUGCCCUCACUCUACCAAAACGGUCUCGAUCACCAGCGAUAGCAGCCAGCAGCAGGGUAGACAACCCAUGCCCUCCACUCGACAGUCGAGGCCCUCGUCCCAAUUACCGGCGGCACUGACAUUCAUUCAAUAUAGGAAACACUUUUACUACAAA